rnacentral:tRNA from 1 species
CGGGGCGUAGCGCAGCCCGGUAGCGCACCUGCUUUGGGAGCAGGGGGUCCCAGGUUCAAAUCCUGGUGCCCCGAC